GAGUCGCAUUGGGAGCAAAGACUAGGGAGGGACCAAUGUGGAAAAGAAUGCCUGGACGUCAGGCAUCUCAGACCAUUUGCCCAUUUUUUGACAAAAAUUAUCUAGAUCUUGUAGGAUGGAGAAAUUGAAAGUACCAUUUUCUGGCCAUUUAAGCCAUUAUCAAGUUUGUAUUGGGGCCAAGUGGUGUUGCAGAAGAAAAUAAGCAUUUAGGUUUUAGGUCAGGUGUGAGUUGAAGAGGUUUUAGGUUUUUAAGAACACAGGUUAAGGGUGAAGAAGGGGGAAUGGAGGGUGGAAGGUUGCCCAUAAUGAAGGAGGUAAGUUUAGAGAAAGGUAGAGACACAGAGAAGGGGGUAGGUGAGGAGCCAAAGCAGGCGUUCCUGCAGUUGAUUUGCCACCAAGGGAAUGUGGGUGAAUGACCAAGGCAGGCGUCCCCACGGUGAUCAGACACCAGUGGAGUGUGGGUGAAUAAUCAGGCAGGCAUCCCCACAGUGAUUAAAUACCAAGGGAAGACUGUCUUCCCGAGUCUGUGAUCGGCACUGGAGUUUUGGGUCCAUGGAUAAAAUGUGUCUCUUUUGUCUCUACUAGAGAGGAAAAAGAAGUGGAAUUGGAAGGACAGGGAGAUGAAGGGUAGCAAGAGAGGCUGGAGAAGAGAGUGAAAAGACCACUUACCUGAUUUGAAACUGGUGAGAUGUUCCUUGGGCUGGUUGGUCUGAGGACCCAAGGUCAUAGGUGGAUGUCCUCACAGAGUGAGGGCAAGGACAGGGGACUGGUCUCCCAAAGGAGUCCUCCUGUCCCGGGUUUCAGCACCAAAUGUCACAUGCGUCCGUGUGAAGAGAGUCCACCAAACAGGCUUCGUGUGAGCAACAAAGCUGUUUAUUUCACCUGGGUGCAGGUGGGCUGAGUCUGAAAAAGGAGUCAGUGAAGGGAGAUAGGUGUGGGGCCAUUUUAUAGGAUUUGGGUGGGUAGUGGAAAAUUACAAUCAAAGGGGGUUUUCUCUUACGGGCAGGGGCAGGGGUCACAAGGUGCUCAGUGGGGGAGGUUUUGAGCCAGGAGAAGGAAUUUCACAAGGUUAAUUGCUCAGUUAAGGUUUGGCAGGAACAAAUCACAAUGGCGGAAUGUCAUCAGUUAAGGCAGGAACAGGCCAUUUUCCCUUGUUACUUCAGUUACUUCAGGCCAUCUGGAUGUAUACGUGCAGGUCACAGGGGAUGCACUAACACUAAUUCCUGAAGACCCAGAAUUCCACUGUGACUUACCCAUCAGAGUGAAAGCAUUACUGCUACAUUGAGGGAGUAGCCCUUACAAAUAGUGGAGAUAGGAAAUCUUCCAAGGGAACAGUAUUGUUAAGUAACAUAUCUCCUCCAUUCUGUCAGGAGGUAGAAAUGUCUGAUAUAAAAAUCUAUGCUGAUUCACAGAUAGUGGCUGAUAACGUAACCAGAUGACCAGAAAUUUGGAAAGAACACAACUGGGUAUGAGGUCUGGAGGAAAAGUAUGCCCAGAGUUCUUGGAAUGGGCCCAAAGAAUCAGAAUAUUUGUGUCCUGUGUGAAUGCUCAGUUAAAAGCCUUCAGUACUUACACUAAUCAAGUGGUCAAAAGAUGACCUCUGUAUGGAUGUCAAUCAGCCAUCUUUUCCAGCCACCCCAGUGCUUAAGAUUCAUGGUCAAAUUGGCCAAGAUUGCGGGGAUGUGGCCUCCACAAUGUGGACCUCCCCCUCACCACAGCUGACAUGACAACCCAGCUAUACUGACAGCCUACUUGUCAGCAGCAGUGACCAACCAGACAAGCCCACACCCAGAAGAGACCAGCCCAAGUCUGAUGGCAGGCUGAUUACAUCUGAUCCUCUUCUAUCACAGAGCAGAACUGCAUAAUGACGACUGCACAAGAUACCAAAUCAGAAGAGGUUCCAUUUCCAAGUUCUGAUUCAUAAGAGCUUCCAAAGUAGAGCCGGUACAUAUUGAAUUUUGAUUCAUCUGGAAGGAUCUCGGACAUCUCUAAGGAAACAAGGGACUGAUCUAAGCCACAUUCUCCAUCUCCAGCUGAAUCGUCAGAGCCACUGCUAUGGUUAAGAAAGACCAUUGAAGACAGACUUAGGUCACUAUCAGAGCUGGAACUUCCAUCCUAAAAUACACAAAAGGACAACCAGUUUAAAGAUGUAAACAAUUUUAGUCUCAGAAAUAAAUAAUAACAUAGCAUUCUAUCAGAGCAAUACAAGAAACUUAGAAGCAUUUUUCAAAAAACUCAUUAAUUCUCUAAUGGUUUUGAGGCACAUGGUAAAAAUUUAACUCUUAAAAUAUAAAGAUAACAUAGAAUGUGGAGAUAAUUUACCAACCAUCCCCCAAGAAAGUCUGUAAUGGAGCUAAGACUCAGACCUCUGGGCUUUAUUUUUAUGUCUCUGACAUUCCAUUCAUACUUUUCUACUCCAAAAUGAUGAAUCAACAUGUUAUAGAGUGCUUUCUCAUUAUAGAGAGCUCUACAAAUACACACCUUUCUGGUAGUAAAGGGAGAGGGGAGAACUUCAAUGGCUUGCCAAAAUAGCAAAAACUUAGGGAGUAUCUGAUUUAGAAACUGUAGGCUCUGUAGACAUUCCAACCAAAUGUGGUAAAGAAGAGUAAUAGAAUAAUCCUUCCUAGAAAAUAUAUGGUAAAGUCUAUAAUGUAACAGUUCAAAUGUCUACUGUAAAUAUUAAAAUCAUAAUACUAUCUUUAGAGAAAAGGCUGAUGCUAAGGUUGGGAUACAGAAAGCACAAGAUAAACCAAGAAUAUUUUUCUUUUUGGGGGGCAGGGUCUCACUCUGUCAUCCAUGCUGGAGUGUAGUGGCACAAUCAUGGCUCACUGCAUCCUGGACUUCCUCAAGUGAUCCUCCUGCCUCAGCCUUUCCCGAGUAGCUAGGACUACAGGUGUGCACCACCAUGGCCAGCUGAUUUUUAAAUUUUUCAUAGAGACAAGUCCCAUUCUGUUGUCCAUAAUGGGUGUAGUUUGUGUAACCAUAGUUUGGUCUCAAACUAGGCUCAAAUGAUCCUCCUGCCUUGGCCUGCCAAAGUGCUGGGAUUACAGAUGUGAGCCACUGCACCUGGCCAAGAAUAACUUACUGUAUCUGGAAGUGAGGAAGUGAUUCAAGAAUGAUGAGGACAUGUCAUAAAGAUAUAGGAGCCAUACAAAAGGGGCUCCUAUUGGCCAGAUUGGGACAAUUUGAGCUUCAAAACAACAGCUUUAACUAAUUAUUUUUUAGAAGUUAAAGUACAAAAAAACUAAAAACUCUAAUUAUUUUUCAGUUUGUAGUAUUUAAUUCAUGGUAUCCUAAUUUAAAUAAUAUCCUUGCAAACACCAACAUGUUUUUGCCAAUAUUAAGGUAAUGUUAAAGAAACAGACACCAAACUCUUCAUAAUUAUAAAUUCUCUGCAAAACCCAUAUUCCAACUAUGGAACAUUCAACUAAAGGUAAACUUACACUUCUAUACAGUUUUACCAAAGUUGUUUAAAAAAUAGCAUUUUUUUAAGGUUGAAAUUUUGACAUUGUACUUCUCUUACCACUCAAAAUGUCAUAACAACUUCCUCAUAUAACUUGCCUGGAGUCCACUUGAGAGCAGCAUUCCAUGUAAGGCCUCCAAUUGGGCAUUGUAAAGUAAAGCUUUCAGAUCAGCUCCAGUAAAGGAGUCGGUUACAGAUGCUACAUGCUGAAGGUCAACAUCAUCUGCCAGAGGUAGAGAGUCACUGAGGACAUUUAAAAUUUCGAGACGUGACACCUGAAGGGAGAAAAAUUUAUUUAACAAAUAAAAAAUAUUAAAAAUAUUAUAUUAAA